GACGUAGGGCGCGAGCGUUGUCCGGAUUUAUUGGGCGUAAAGAGCUCGUAGGCGGUCUGUCGCGUCUGCUGUGAAAACUCGGGGCUUAACCCCGGGCCUGCAGUGGGUACGGGCAGACUAGAGUGCGGUAGGGGAGACUGGAAUUCCCGGUGUAGCGGUGGAAUGCGUAGAGAUCGGGAAGAACACCCGUGGCGAAGGCGGCCAGCUGGGCCAGAUCCGGACACUGAGGCGCGAAAGCGUGGGGAGCAAACAGGG
rnacentral:rRNA from 1 species